rnacentral:rRNA from 1 species
AGUAGGGAAUCUUCGGCAAUGGGGGCAACCCUGACCGAGCAACGCCGCGUGAGUGAAGAAGGUUUUCGGAUCGUAAAGCUCUGUUGUAAGAGAAGAACGUGUGUGAGAGUGGAAAGUUCACACAGUGACGGUAACUUACCAGAAAGGGACGGCUAACUACGUGCCAGCAGCCGCGGUAAUACGUAGGUCCCGAGCGUUGUCCGGAUUUAUUGGGCGUAAAGCGAGCGCAGGCGGUUUAAUAAGUCUGAAGUUAAAGGCAGUGGCUUAACCAUUGUUCGCUUUGGAAACUGUUAAACUUGAGUGCAGAAGGGGAGAGUGGAAUUCCAUGUGUAGCGGUGAAAUGCGUAGAUAUAUGGAGGAACACCGGUGGCGAAAGCGGCUCUCUGGUCUGUAACUGACGCUGAGGCUCGAAAGCGUGGGGAGCAAACAGGAUUAGAUACCCUGGUAGUCCACGCCGUAAACGAUGAGUGCUAGGUGUUAGGCCCUUUCCGGGGC